UUACGGUCACAUCUUGCUAAAAGCACCGGUUCUCGUUCGAUCUCAGAAGUUAAGCAAUGUCGAAACAGGUCAGUACUUAGAUGGGAG